rnacentral:rRNA from 1 species
GACGAACGCUGGCGGCGUGCUUAACACAUGCAAGUCGAACGCUGAAGCUCAGCUUUUGUUGGGUGGAUGAGUGGCGAACGGGUGAGUAACACGUGAGUAACCUGCCCCCUUCUUUGGGAUAACGCCCGGAAACGGGUGCUAAUACUGGAUAUUCACUGGUCUUCGCAUGGGGGGUGGUGGAAAGGGUUUUUCUGGUGGGGGAUGGGCUCGCGGCCCAUCAGCUUGUUGGUGGGGUGAUGGCCUACCAAGGCUUUGACGGGUAGCCGGCCUGAGAGGGUGACCGGUCACAUUGGGACUGAGAUACGGCCCAGACUCCUACGGGAGGCAGCAGGGGGGAAUAUUGCACAAUGGGCGCAAGCCUGAUGCAGCGACGCAGCGUGAGGGAUGGAGGCCUUCGGGUUGUGAACCUCUUUCGCUCAUGGUCAAGCCGCAACAAUGGUUGUGGUGAGGGUAGUGGGUAAAGAAGCGCCGGCUAACUACGUG